rnacentral:rRNA from 1 species
UACAGAGGGUGCGAGCGUUGUCCGGAAUCACUGGGCGUAAAGCGCGUGUAGGCGGUUUCUUAAGUCUGAUGUGAAAGCCCUGGGCUCAACCCAGGAAGUGCAUUGGAUACUGGGAGACUUGAAUACGGGAGAGGGUAGUGGAAUUCCUAGUGUAGGAGUGAAAUCCGUAGAUAUUAGGAGGAACACCGGUGGCGAAGGCGGCUACCUGGACCGAUAUUGACGCUGAGACGCGAAAGCGUGGGGAGCAAACAGG